rnacentral:rRNA from 1 species
GACGAACCGUGCGAACGUUAUUCGGAAUCACUGGGCUUAAAGCGCGUGUAGGCGGGAGGGCACGUCCGACGUUGAAAGCCCCCGGCUCAACCGGGGAACGGGCGCGGAUACGACCUUCCUGGAGGGACGUAGGGGGACCUGGAACUUCCGGUGGAGCGGUGAAAUGCGUAGAUAUUGGGAAGAACACCAGCGGCGAAAGCGCGUGACUGGGCCUGAACUGACACUCAUGGACGAAAGCUAGGGGAGCGAAAGGG